AGGAUAAACGCUGGCGGCGUGCCUAAAACAUGCAAGUCGAACGGCACCUUCGGGUGUAGUGGCGGACGGCUGAGUAACACGUGGGUGACCUGCCCUCGAGCGGGGGAUAACUGCCCGAAAGGGUGGCUAAUACCGCAGACAUCGCAGCUUCGUUGGUGUGAUUGAACCGUUUAGGGUUCGAGGAGGGGCCCGCGGCCGAUUAGCUUGCUGGUGGGGUAAUGGCCUACCAGGGCUUCGAUCGGUAGCUGGUCUGAGAGGAUGAUCAGCCAGACUGGGACUGCGAACGGCCCAGACUCCUACGGGAGGCAGCAGUUAGGAAUUUGGGCAAUGGGCAAAGCCUGACCCAGCAACGCCGCGUGGGUGAUGAAGGCCCUCGGGUCGUAAAGCCCUUUUCCUAAGGGAAGAUAAAUGACGGUACCUGGGAAUCAGCCCGGCUAACUACGUGCCAGCAAGCCGC
rnacentral:rRNA from 1 species